CCGGGCUGGAGCAAGGCGUUUCUAACAAGAAACUUUACUUGGGGUUUUAUUCUGGAUAUUUGUGGCAGGCGCUAUCACUUGGGACUUAGUAAUUCUACAUUUCGCGAUGGUUCAACUUGGUGUUGUACGUACGGUCUCUCGAUGGCCUCUAUUGAAACGAUCGAGGAACUUCAGUGCAUAGUGUCAGCCACGUUAGGCGACAUGGUUAGGCCGGCGAAAAUCUGGACCUCGGCCUCGAGGAAAGGGACGCUGGACGGCUUCAGGUGGUGCUCGUCCAAAGCUCCUUUCAACUAUUCCAUGUGGAACUGGCACCCGGACAUUAACAAAAAUCCAGCCAACCCCAUAAUGACGAUAAAACUUGGAAACACAAUCCAAGAUUCGAGUUUUGAAGCUGAUU